rnacentral:rRNA from 1 species
GCAUAUCAAUAAGCGGAGGAAAAGAAACCAACAGGGAUUGCCCUAGUAACGGCGAAGUGAAGCGGCAACAGCUCAAAUUUGAAAUCUGGCCCUCGGGUCCGAGUUUGUAAUUUGUAGAGGAUGCUUUUGGUGCGGUGCCUUCCGAGUUCCCUGGAACGGGACGCCAUAGAGGGUGAGAGCCCCGUCUGGUUGGACACCAAGCCUCUGUAAAGCUCCUUCGACGAGUCGAGUAGUUUGGGAAUGCUGCUCUAAAUGGGAGGUAUAUGUCUUCUAAAGCUAAAUACCGGCCAGAGACCGAUAGCGCACAAGUAGAGUGAUCGAAAGAUGAAAAGCACUUUGAAAAGAGGGUUAAAUAGUACGUGAAAUUGUUGAAAGGGAAGCGCUUAUGACCAGACUUGAGCCCGGUUAAUCAUCCAGCCUUCUGGCUGGUGCACUUGGCCGGCUCAGGCCAGCAUCAGUUCGGCGCGGGGGAUAAAGGCUUCGGGAAUGUGGCUCCUCCGGGAGUGUUAUAGCCCGUUGCGCAAUACCCUGCGCUGGACUGAGGUUCGCGCAUCUGCAAGGAUGCUGGCGUAAUGGUCAUCAGCGACCCGUCUUGAAACACGGACCAAGGAGUCGUCUUCGUAUGCGAGUGUUCGGGUGUCAAACCCCUACGCGUAAUGAAAGUGAACGCAGGUGAGAGCUUCGGCGCAUCAUCGACCGAUCCUGAUGUUCUCGGAUGGAUUUGAGUAAGAGCAUACGGGGCCGGACCCGAAAGAAGGUGAACUAUGCCUGUAUAGGGUGAAGCCAGAGGAAACUCUGGUGGAGGCUCGCAGCGGUUUCUGACGUGCAAAUCGAUCGUCAAAUAUGGGCAUGGGGGCGAAAGACUAAUCGAACCUUCUAGUAGCUGGUUUCCGCCGAAG